rnacentral:rRNA from 1 species
ACGAACGCUGGCGGCGUGCCUAAUACAUGCAAGUAGAACGCACAGUUUAUACCGUAGCUUGCUACACCAUAAACUGUGAGUUGCGAACGGGUGAGUAACGCGUAGGUAACCUGCCUGGUAGCGGGGGAUAACUAUUGGAAACGAUAGCUAAUACCGCAUAAUAUUGAUUAUUGCAUGAUAAUUGAUUGAAAGAUGCUAUUGCAUCACUACCAGAUGGACCUGCGUUGUAUUAGCUAGUAGGUGAGGUAACGGCUCACCUAGGCGACGAUACAUAGCCGACCUGAGAGGGUGAUCGGCCACACUGGGACUGAGACACGGCCCAGACUCCUACGGGAGGCAGCAGUAGGGAAUCUUCGGCAAUGGACGAAAGUCUGACCGAGCAACGCCGCGUGAGUGAAGAAGGUUUUCGGAUCGUAAAGCUCGGUUGUAAGAGAAGAACGGGUGUGAGAGUGGAAAGUUCACACUGUGACGGUAUCUUACCAGAAAGGGACGGCUAACUACGUG